rnacentral:rRNA from 1 species
CAUAUUGUGAGCUCGAUGAGUAGGGCGGGACACGUGGUAUCCUGUCUGAAUAUGGGGGGACCAUCCUCCAAGGCUAAAUACUCCUGACUGACCGAUAGUGAACCAGUACCGUGAGGGAAAGGCGAAAAGAACCCCGGCGAGGGGAGUGAAAAAGAACCUGAAACCGUGUACGUACAAGCAGUGGGAGCCUCUUUAUGGGGUGACUGCGUACCUUUUGUAUAAUGGGUCAGCGACUUAUAUUCUGUAGCAAGGUUAACCGAAUAGGGGAGCCGAAGGGAAACCGAGUCUUAACUGGGCGUUAAGUUGCAGGGUAUAGACCCGAAACCCGGUGAUCUAGCCAUGGGCAGGUUGAAGGUUGGGUAACACUAACUGGAGGACCGAACCGACUAAUGUUGAAAAAUUAGCGGAUGACUUGUGGCUGGGGGUGAAAGGCCAAUCAAACCGGGAGAUAGCUGGUUCUCCCCGAAAGCUAUUUAGGUAGCGCCUCGUGAAUUCAUCUCCGGGGGUAGAGCACUGUUUCGGCAAGGGGGUCAUCCCGACUUACCAACCCGAUGCAAACUGCGAAUACCGGAGAAUGUUAUCACGGGAGACACACGGCGGGUGCUAACGUCCGUCGUGAAGAGGGAAACAACCCAGACCGCCAGCUAAGGUCCCAAAGUCAUGGUUAAGUGGGAAACGAUGUGGGAAGGCCCAGACAGCCAGGAUGUUGGCUUAGAAGCAGCCAUCAUUUAAAGAAAGCGUAAUAGCUCACUGGUCGAGUCGGCCUGCGCGGAAGAUGUAACGGGGCUAAACCAUGCACCGAAGCUGCGGCAGCGACACUAUGUGUUGUUGGGUAGGGGAGCGUUCUGUAAGCCUGUGAAGGUGGCCUGUGAGGGUUGCUGGAGGUAUCAGAAGUGCGAAUGCUGACAUAAGUAACGAUAAAGCGGGUGAAAAGCCCGCUCGCCGGAAGACCAAGGGUUCCUGUCCAACGUUAAUCGGGGCAGGGUGAGUCGACCCCUAAGGCGAGGCCGAAAGGCGUAGUCGAUGGGAAACAGGUUAAUAUUCCUGUACUUGGUGUUACUGCGAAGGGGGGACGGAGAAGGCUAUGUUGGCCGGGCGACGGUUGUCCCGGUUUAAGCGUGUAGGCUGGUUUUCCAGGCAAAUCCGGAAAACCAAGGCUGAGGCGUGAUGACGAGGCACUACGGUGCUGAAGCGACAAAUGCCCUGCUUCCAGGAAAAGCCUCUAAGCAUCAGGUAACAUCAAAUCGUACCCCAAACCGACACAGGUGGUCAGGUAGAGAAUACCAAGGCGCUUGAGAGAACUCGGGUGAAGGAACUAGGCAAAAUGGUGCCGUAACUUCGGGAGAAGGCACGCUGAUAUGUAGGUGAAGCGACUUGCUCGUGGAGCUGAAAUCAGUCGAAGAUACCAGCUGGCUGCAACUGUUUAUUAAAAACACAGCACUGUGCAAACACGAAAGUGGACGUAUACGGUGUGACGCCUGCCCGGUGCCGGAAGGUUAAUUGAUGGGGUUAGCGGUAACGCGAAGCUCUUGAUCGAAGCCCCGGUAAACGGCGGCCGUAACUAUAACGGUCCUAAGGUAGCGAAAUUCCUUGUCGGGUAAGUUCCGACCUGCACGAAUGGCGUAAUGAUGGCCAGGCUGUCUCCACCCGAGACUCAGUGAAAUUGAACUCGCUGUGAAGAUGCAGUGUACCCGCGGCAAGACGGAAAGACCCCGUGAACCUUUACUAUAGCUUGACACUGAACAUUGAGCCUUGAUGUGUAGGAUAGGUGGGAGGCUUUGAAGUGUGGACGCCAGUCUGCAUGGAGCCGACCUUGAAAUACCACCCUUUAAUGUUUGAUGUUCUAACGUUGGCCCGUAAUCCGGGUUGCGGACAGUGUCUGGUGGGUAGUUUGACUGGGGCGGUCUCCUCCUAAAGAGUAACGGAGGAGCACGAAGGUUGGCUAAUCCUGGUCGGACAUCAGGAGGUUAGUGCAAUGGCAUAAGCCAGCUUGACUGCGAGCGUGACGGCGCGAGCAGGUGCGAAAGCAGGUCAUAGUGAUCCGGUGGUUCUGAAUGGAAGGGCCAUCGCUCAACGGAUAAAAGGUACUCCGGGGAUAACAGGCUGAUACCGCCCAAGAGUUCAUAUCGACGGCGGUGUUUGGCACCUCGAUGUCGGCUCAUCACAUCCUGGGGCUGAAGUAGGUCCCAAGGGUAUGGCUGUUCGCCAUUUAAAGUGGUACGCGAGCUGGGUUUAGAACGUCGUGAGACAGUUCGGUCCCUAUCUGCCGUGGGCGCUGGAGAACUGAGGGGGGCUGCUCCUAGUACGAGAGGACCGGAGUGGACGCAUCACUGGUGUUCGGGUUGUCAUGCCAAUGGCACUGCCCGGUAGCUAAAUGCGGAAGAGAUAAGUGCUGAAAGCAUCUAAGCACGAAACUUGCCCCGAGAUGAGUUCUCCCUGAGACUUAGAGUCUCCUGAAGGAACGUUGAAGACGACGACGUUGAUAGGCCGGGUGUGUAAGCGCAGCGAUGCGUUGAGCUAACCGGUACUAAUGAACCGUGAGG